CUCUCUUCAGUCUGUAAUGAAUUCUACGGCCAGUCUCAUCUUCCUGACUGACCGCUAUUCCCAAGCCUCACCCUUUUUCCAAUCAUUACAUUGGCUUCCUGUAACAUUUAGGAUCCAAUUCAAACUGAUAACACGAACCUGCAAACCUGCUCUCACUAACUACACUCCACACUACAUUUCUUCUUUACUCGAAAAUACACCGCUUCUUGUGCUCUUCACUCCUCAAAUUACCUUCUCCUGACACCUGCUCGCUUCUGCACUGUCAACUAUAAUUUGUAGAAUGUUUCAAGAGCAGUCCCGUUCUUUAGGAAUUCAUUACCCUUUGACAUCAGACUCUCCCAUAGCCUCAAGCCUCCACUGGAAACCAGAGGCGGCUCUCUAAU